rnacentral:lncRNA from 1 species
AAAACAGGGUCUGUCACCUUCCAGGGCACACUGGGGCUGAGGGACCACCUACAGCAGGGAGAGAUGGGACAGGCCAUUUUCCUGUUUAACAUGGAAGAAAAGAACAAUGAAAAUAUGGAACUGAAGAGCUAUGCCCAUAUCACAGAUGUGCUCAGCCCCGGCCAGGACCGGCCAGGACCGCGCACGGCUUUCCUGGGAGCAGAACUGCAGUAAGGACAUACAGAGAGCUUCGUGCUCACAGAUCUAUAUACAUUCUAUUCAU